rnacentral:rRNA from 1 species
GAUCAUGGCUCAGAUUGAACGCUGGCGGCAGGCCUAACACAUGCAAGUCGAACGGUAACAGGAAGAAGCUUGCUUCUUGCUGACGAGUGGCGGACGGGUGAGUAAUGUCUGGGAAACUGCCUGAUGGAGGGGGAUAACUACUGGAAACGGUAGCUAAUACCGCAUAACGUCGCAAGACCAAAAAGGGGGACCUUCGGGCCUCUUGCCAUCGGAUGUGCCCAGAUGGGAUUAGCUAGUAGGUGGGGUAACGGCUCACCUAGGCGACGAUCCCUAGCUGGUCUGAGAGGAUGACCAGCCACACUGGAACUGAGACACGGUCCAGACUCCUACGGGAGGCAGCAGUGGGGAAUAUUGCACAAUGGGCGCAAGCCUGAUGCAGCCAUGCCGCGUGUAUGAAGAAGGCCUUCGGGUUGUAAAGUACUUUCAGCGGGGAGGAAGGGAGUAAAGUUAAUACCUUUGCUCAUUGACGUUACCCGCAGAAGAAGCACCGGCUAACUCCGUG